rnacentral:rRNA from 1 species
AUUGAACGCUGGCGGCAUGCCUUACACAUGCAAGUCGAACGGCAGCACGGGAGCAAUCCUGGUGGCGAGUGGCGAACGGGUGAGUAAUACAUCGGAACGUGCCCAAUCGUGGGGGAUAACGCAGCGAAAGCUGUGCUAAUACCGCAUACGAUCUACGGAUGAAAGCAGGGGACCGCAAGGCCUUGCGCGAAUGGAGCGGCCGAUGGCCGAGUAGGUAGUUGGUGGGGUAAAGGCUCACCAAGCCAACGAUCUGUAGCUGGUCUGAGAGGACGACCAGCCACACGGGGACUGGGACACGGCCCAGACUCCUACGGGAGGCAGCAGUGGGGAAUUUUGGACAAUGGGGGCAAGCCUGAUCCAGCCAUGCCGCGUGCAGGAUGAAGGCCUUCGGGUUGGAAACUGCUUUUGUACGGAACGAAACGGCCUUUUCUAAUAAAGAGGGCUAAUGACGGUACCGUAAGAAUAAGCACCGGCUAACUACGUG